rnacentral:rRNA from 1 species
AGUUGGUGGAGUGAUUUGUCUGGUUAAUUCCGUUAACGAACGAGACCUCAGCCUACUAAAUAGUGGGGUUGUAUUGCGAGAUAUACUGCCGCUUCUUAGAGGGACAUUUCGGGUAUACCGGAAGGAAGUUUGAGGCAAUAACAGG